rnacentral:rRNA from 1 species
AUUGAACGCUGGCGGCAGGCCUAACACAUGCAAGUCGAGCGGAUGAAGGGAGCUUGCUCCUGGAUUCAGCGGCGGACGGGUGAGUAAUGCCUAGGAAUCUGCCUGGUAGUGGGGGAUAACGUCCGGAAACGGGCGCUAAUACCGCAUACGUCCUGAGGGAGAAAGUGGGGGAUCUUCGGACCUCACGCUAUCAGAUGAGCCUAGGUCGGAUUAGCUAGUUGGUGGGGUAAAGGCCUACCAAGGCGACGAUCCGUAACUGGUCUGAGAGGAUGAUCAGUCACACUGGAACUGAGACACGGUCCAGACUCCUACGGGAGGCAGCAGUGGGGAAUAUUGGACAAAGGGCGAAAGCCUGAUCCAGCCAUGCCGCGUGUGUGAAGAAGGUCUUCGGAUUGUAAAGCACUUUAAGUUGGGAGGAAGGGCAGUAAGUUAAUACCUUGCUGUUUUGACGUUACCAACAGAAUAAGAACCGGCUAACUUCGUG